rnacentral:rRNA from 1 species
GUGGGGAAUUGUUCGCAAUGGGCGCAAGCCUGACGACGCAACGCCGCGUGGAGGAUGAAGAUCUUCGGGUCGUAAACUCCUUUCGAUCGAGACGAACAGCCUUCGGGUAAACAAUCCGGAGGUCUGACGGUACCGAGAGAAGAAGCCCCGGCUAACUCCGUGCCAGCAGCCGCGGUAAUACGGGGGGGGCAAGCGUUGUUCGGAAUUACUGGGCGUAAAGGGCUCGUAGGCGGCCAACUAAGUCAGACGUGAAAUCCCUCGGCUUAACCGGGGAACUGCGUCUGAUACUGGAUGGCUUGAGUUUGGGAGAGGGAUGCGGAAUUCCAGGUGUAGCGGUGAAAUGCGUAGAUAUCUGGAGGAACACCGGUGGCGAAGGCGGCAUCCUGGACCAACACUGACGCUGAGUGAGCGAAAGCCAGGGGAGCAAACGGGAUUAGAAACCCUAGUAGUCC